ensembl:lncRNA
GCGCGGCCGCGGAGAGGUCUGCGGCGGCUUGAUGGAGUCCCCCGGCGUAAUGUAGCUGGCAGGGCAGCCCCCUGUUUUCAGCACUCAGUAGUAACGCCAGCUCAAAGCUGGUUUGUGCGGCUCCCUCCGGAGGCCCGCUGAAAUAGCGCGGCUCCCCUGCAGCGCGCUGAGCGGCUGCUCUCUUUACCAAGGUGCUCUCUGCUGCCCUAAAGACAGAAAUUUGGCAUCCUCUCCCCAUUCGGAGCUGGGCCCCGGUCAAGCUCUGUCUGUACGUCGGGGCACGCUUCACAGGUCAGCGCAGGGAGGGUUUCGUCCCUCUUUGACCCAGAGUUGUGCUGCUCUCUUGGCUGUCUUCAGCCUCUGCAAGCAAAGCACAGCAAGAGGAGAAGAGGAUUCCCAGUUUUGUGUGGCUCUCCGCUCCCUGAACAAAAACAUGCCUGAAAGCCAAGAACUCCUGAACAUGCAGAAUCUCCACCAGGAAGAACGGAGACGGCAUUCAUCAACUUUGGCCCAUCAGCCUUGA